rnacentral:tRNA from 1 species
CCCAGCGGUAGCCGGGGGAGCAACAGCCCCGCGCCCCUUCGGGGCGCGGGGUCGGGGCCUGGGGUCGGGGCCUAGCGUCGCGU